rnacentral:rRNA from 1 species
GCGGAGCAAUCUUGAUGAAGUUUUCGGAUGGAAUCAGGAUUGGCUUAGCGGCGGACGGGUGAGUAACACGUGGAUAACCUGCCUUAUACUGGGGGAUAACAGCCAGAAAUGGCUGCUAAUACCGCAUAAGCGCACGGCGCCGCAUGGCGCAGUGUGAAAAACUCCGGUGGUAUAAGAUGGAUCCGCGCCUGAUUAGCUAGUUGGCGGGGCAGCGGCCCACCAAGGCGACGAUCAGUAGCCGGCCUGAGAGGGCGACCGGCCACAUUGGGACUGAGACACGGCCCAAACUCCUACGGGAGGCAGCAGUGGGGAAUAUUGCACAAUGGGGGGAACCCUGAUGCAGCGACGCCGCGUGAGUGAAGAAGUAUUUCGGUAUGUAAAGCUCUAUCAGCAGGGAAGAAGAUGACGGUACCUGACUAAGAAGCCCCGGCUAACUACUUGCCAGCAGCCGCGGUAAUACGUAGGGGGCAAGCGUUAUCCGGAUUUACUGGGUGUAAAGGGAGCGUAGACGGCAGGGCAAGUCUGGAGUGAAAGCCCGGGGCCCAACCCCGGGACUGCCCCCCCAACUGCCAUGCUGGAGUGCUGGAGAGGUAAGCGGAAUUCCUAGUGUAGCGGUGAAAUGCGUAGUUUUUAGGGGGAACACCAGCGGCGAAGGCGGCCUACCGGACAGAAACNGACGNNGAGGCUCGAAAGCGAGGAGACCCUUUUAUGCCCCCCCCCCCCCCCCCCCCCCCCACCCCAACGACCUGAUAGAGANANNNNNNNNNNNNNNNGACGAUUACCGCCGCAAACGCAGUAAGCAUUCCACCUGGGGAGUACGUUCGCAAGAAUGAAACUCAAAGGAAUUGACGGGGACCCGCACAAGCGGUGGAGCAUGUGGUUUAAUUCGAAGCAACGCGAAGAACCUUACCAAGUCUUGGCAUCCCAAUGAAUGCCUGGCAAAGCAGGCAGUCCUCCGGGACAUUGGAGACAGGUGGUGCAUGGUUGUCGUCAGCUCGUGUCGUGAGAUGUUGGGUUAAGUCCCGCAACGAGCGCAACCCUUAUCCCCAGUAGCCAGCACGUAGAGGUGGGCACUCUGUGGAGACUGCCAGGGACAACCUGGAGGAAGGUGGGGAUGACGUCAAAUCAUCAUGCCCCUUAUGAUUUGGGCUACACACGUGCUACAAUGGCGUGAACAGAGGGAGGCGAAGGGGCGACCUGGAGCAAACCCCAAAAAUAACGUCCCAGUUCGGACUGCGGCCUGCAACCCGGCCGCACGAAGCUGGAAUCGCUAGUAAUCGC